rnacentral:rRNA from 1 species
AUUGAACGCUGGCGGCAGGCCUAACACAUGCAAGUCGAACGAGUGGCGGACGGGUGAGUAAUGUCUGGGAAACUGCCCGAUGGAGGGGGAUAACUACUGGAAACGGUAGCUAAUACCGCAUACCAUCGGAUGUGCCCAGAUGGGAUUAGCUAGUGGGUGGGGUAACGGCUUACCUGGGCGACGAUCCCUAGCUGGUCUGAGCGGAUGACCAGGCACACUGGAACGUAGACACGGUCCAGAUGCCUACGGGAGGCAGCAUGGGGGAAUAUUGCACAAUGGGCGCAAGCCUGAUGCAGCCAUGCCGCGUGUACGAAGAAGGCAUGCGGGUUGUAAAGUACUUUCAGCGAGGAGGCGUUACUCGCAGAAGAAGCACCGGCUAACUCCGUGCCAGCAGCCGCGGUAAUAC